ensembl:lincRNA
CGAAGAAGGAGGUGAUGACCCCAAGGAGGCGAUGACCCUGAAGAAGGAAGCGAUGACCCCAAAGAAGGAGGUGAUGACCCCAAGGAGGCGGUGACCCCGAAGAAGUCAGGGGCUGACUCAUUUAACACGGUCUCUUUGGGGCAGAAGAGAGAGCAAGUGCCCAGCCACUGAGCAGAGUGGGGCAUGUCUGGAAGGGGCAGAUAUUUCAGAGAAGGAAACUGAGGAUACAGUGGACCAAUCACUGGCUGUUACAAGAGCCCAGGAGUUCAGCCGCAGGCUUGUCUUCUUCCCAAAAGGCUCGGACGCCGUGUCCUCAGAGCGACCUGUGCUAUCUGGGGCCUCGCACUGCUGCUCACAAAGACUUCACACCGAAAGGAAGUCUCCCUCACGCUUGUGUAGCCUUCACCGAGAAGAAGAAACGCAGGAUUGCUUUUUUAAUUCCCCAAAAGAACUGUUUUUCAAAACCGCCGUUGGAAAAUCGUCUCUGAGGGACGACAGCCAAGGGAGGAUUCCUGUUUGGCGAAGAAGCAGACAGGCGGGUCCCAAGCAGCCUUUGGGGACUUUCCCCCGCUUUUGCCUAAAUGUCAAGUGUCGGGCAUUCACACGGUUAAAAACGACCUAAAAUGAGCAACUUCCCCAAUGCUGGAUGACAAGUGUCAAGCCCUCUGCCCCUCCCAUCCCAGGGGCUGUUGUGAGUUCUCAUCUUUAUAGGAGAAAACGCGGAACUUGAGUGGGCUGGAGCCACAGGCUGGCAGCAGAGAUUGGGUCCUUGUCUCCUUGGACGGGCCCUGGAAUCCUUCUGGAACACACAGGAUAUGUAUGAACAUGAUGGAGCAGAACACAGUUCUCUCCUGCCGAAUCCCACUUCUUCCCACCAACAUGGCAGGAAGAAAAAUGACCUCAUGGUUAAGCCUGUAAACUUUGGAAUCAAACAAACCUGUGUGCAAUCUUUGCGUUUUUUUUUUUUUUUUUAACCUAACAGUUCUGUGGCUUCCACCAAAUUCUGUAACUUCUUUGUACUUUUGUUUAUUCAUGUGCAAAAUGGUGAUAAAGAUCACCACCACACUGGGUUCCUUUGAAGAUGAAAUAGGAUAAGAUGCAGAGAGUGGAUGUGCACAGCCCUGUGGACUGUAGAUUUUAUUCUCGGAUUACCUGUUUGCUUCUCACCCUACCUCGGGGCUGUCAUUCAUGGGAUGAAAUAAGAAAGGAUGGUUUGGGGAGAAAGAUACUCUUGGUAACCUGCAGACUUUCUUGUGAAAAGUGAAAUCUCCCAGUUCCAGGUUGGCAUCUGUUGUUGGUAACUAGGUUGGCGCCAGCCAAUGAACCAAUUUACUGAGCACUAUUACUUGCUGGGAUGGCUUCCCUGAUGGCGCAGGUGGUAAAGAAUCCUCCCGCAAUGUGGGAGGCCUGGGUUUGAUUCCCAGGCUGGGAAGAACUCCUGCAGGAGGGAAUGGCAACCCACUCCAGUAUUCUUGUCUGGAAAACUCCAUGGACAGAGUAGUCUGGAGGGCUAUAGUCCACAGGGUCACAAACAGUCGGACACGACUGAGUGACUAACACCUGCUAGGCAGUGUGCUUAAGCCCUCUUAUAGGUAUAUGACCAGUGUCCACAUAGAUUAUAUUAUCCCGUAUGUUUUAUUCAAAUAAGUCCUGAUAACAGCCACUUCUCAGCACCUCUUCAGCAACGACGCUAGUCUCAGCCACCAUCUUCUCCCAAGAAGUCACAGCAGGAGCCUUCUCCUUGGCCUCCCCUCAUGCAUUCUUUCCAUUUCCAGUGAACUUUGGAGUCAACCAGAACAGGAGAACUGCCAGUCUGGAGAGAGAGUCAUGUUACAUACGGGGGCCCAGGGACUGUGGAAUCAGGGACUGGAUCCUGCCUUGCUCAGUUAGUUGCUAACAUACCUUCAGGCACAAGGUAGCCACUGACAAAGGUGCUUUCCAUGCCCCUGGUUGCGGGCUCCGAGGACGCCAGCCUCGCCGUCACCCAUCACCCGUCACCCGUCGCGGCUGAGACGAGCAGGCGUCGAGUGCAGCUGGCUGUCUCUGGUCGCCAGGGAAGUGCCUUCACUUAAGCAGACUGCUGGCAUUGCUUCCUCCUGUCUGCUCCACCAGCACAAUGAGAGGGAGACUUACCCACCCAGCACAGCCUAAGAUUUGAGAGGGCUUCUGCUCCAGGAAACACAGUACAUAGCCGAGAAUCUCUCUCUGCAGCCUUUUAAAGCCAGCCUUUGGAUUAACCAGACGUGUGAUGAGCAUUUUUUAAAAAACAUAUGUCUACUAAAAGUGAAAGUACUGUUGUUUUUGUUUAUAAAUACAUCAAAACACUCAGAUCCUUUAUUGAUCUGUGCUGAGGGAGUUGUGGGUUUUCAUACAAUGUUUUCUGAAAGAGUGAAAAGCGAAUACCUCAAAACGAAAAUAGGAUCACACAUGGUUUUAUCAUCUUGUGCAGUUCAUUUUAUUACAACCUGAUCUUAUGGAAGGAAUCCCAUUUUGGUUUAAUCUUUUGGGGCUCCCUGCUCAGCUAACUUGAAGGUUUAGCUUGGGAUGUUUAAUUCCAUAGUCUGUGAUUAUUUUAGGAAAUUUACUAAAAAGCCAAAACACAAUCUAUAGAGUGAUCCACUGUGGUGGAGUUCAAAGCAGAGUGCUCUAGCAAUUCACACACGACGGAACAGCAAAGGGGGAUGGCGUAGCCAAGCUGGCACCUGACACGAGAGGCCCUAGCCCCUACUAUGUUUCCUGGGGCCAGAGAUUGUGGCCGUGCAUCCUGUGAGAAAGCAGAAGCGGGAUGUACACGCGAUAAUUGUAACACCACAGCACACCAUGUCACUUAAGUGUACAAAGCACGGGCUUCUAGUGUUAGAGAAGCUGCCUGCCAAAGCAGGAGACAUGAAAGAGGUGAGUUCAGUCCCUGGCUUGGGAAGACCCCCUGGAGAAGGGAAUGACGACCCACUCCAGUGUUCUUGCCUGGAGAAUCCCAGGGACAGAGGAGCCUGCUGGGCUACAGUCCACAGGGUUACAAAGAUUGGACACAACUGAAGUGACUUGGCCACGUGAACAAAGCAUAGUACAAAAUAGUUUGCAUUGAACUGGAUAGUCAGGCAGUCAAUAUGUAUUUUAUUAAUCACCUGCUGUUUGCAAGGUACUUUCAUAACUAUGAAAUAAUCUAUAUAAAAAAAAUCUGAAGGGAGUAUGUAAAAAUGAGGCUGAGUCAGGAAGAUGGGAUUAUCAUGUGUUCUUUGUCUUUAUUCUCCCCUAAUAUUGAAACAUAUAUGCUUUCAAACGGGACCUUAUUAAACUUAGAAGUUUUGCACAGCAAGGGAAGCCAUCAACAAAACAAAAAGACAACCUACUGAAUGGGAAAAAAAAUAAUUGCAAAUGAUAUG